ACAGGCAUUUCAAGGCAUUUCUGCAGUGCGACACAAUCCCAUGAAUAUCUCAAGGAAAAGCUGACACAGUAGCCUUUGCAAUCUCCUUGAAAAGGAUGGUUCAUGUGAUCUGCAGGACUUGCCAUGAAGAUGCUUGAAAGGCUCCAUUCCCUUUAGUUCCAGUGUGAACACCAGAAAUGGAUUUUGGACAAAGUUUCUGCUGCAAGAUUCUCAGUACUCAUGGCUCCAUCUACUCUUUGUUCAGCUACUACAGUGACAGAGAAACGCAGGAGAAUCCUGAGCUUCUGCCAUCUACCUAAGCUUGUGUACUUCUCCAUAGGGAGGAAAGGAAACGAGGAAAGGAGAUACUCACACAGGUCAUAUAGUCUCACACUUCAGUGAUAGGUGUCAGGUCUCAUAGGCUUCUACAGAGGAAGAAUAGCAUUACACUCAUCACCUAUUUACUACAUGUCUUGAUUUGCAACAUAACAUGACCAAAAUGGAGAGCUCCAGUCAUGUGAGAAGGACAAACCUAGCAGCAGGACAAGCAUAUAGAUGGAUUGGAGGUCCUGUGACUGGAUAUGAGUGAACAGCUAUCAUCACACACCAUCUGGAAGGCCCUUAUCACAUGAUGAACUAGCAGAGAUAGGACAACAGUCACACAGAGGGACGUACAUUCAUGAUACCAUAUAGAAAGUU